ensembl:snRNA U1 U1 spliceosomal RNA
AUACUUACCUGGCAGGGGAGAUACCAUGAUCACGAAGGUGGUUUUCCCAGGGUGAGGCUCAUCCAUUGCACUCCGGGUGUGCUGACCCCUGCGAUUUCCCCAAAUGCGGGAAACUCGACUGCAUAAUUUGUGGUAGUGGGGGACUGCGUUCGCGCUUUCCCCUG